rnacentral:lncRNA from 1 species
AGUGAAUGCAAAUGGCUUUAUUAGAGUGCUUGUAAUCAUUAAAUUAUUACACAUUAUGUCAUGGAAAUACACAGGUCCUGCUACAGAUUCAACUGAGAUGAUUUCACCCCAUCUCCCCCUUUCUUCUGGAGAAAUAAGUCAGAUGAACACAAGUCAGAUCUGAAAGCUCUGCUGCAGUUGGAUCAGCAUGGAGUUAUAUUCCUGGGAGCUUCCAGGAAGUAAACACUGUAGCAGCUUUUAAAUACUUCAUGAUCCAGACAGCCUUGCUGAAGUGAAUAGGUGGGAGGUUGGACAUGAAAAAUUGAAAAAUAUCACCCUGAGUGCUUACUUCAACUUCCAUAAACCUUGCUAUGAUCAUUGACAAAGCCUCCCUCACACACA